CAGAGAGAGAGAGAGCUCAGUCUGUACAUACAGAGACAGAGCUCAGUCUGUACAUACAGAGGGAGAGAGCUCAGUCUAUACAUACAGAGAGAGCUCAGUCUGUACAUACAGAGAGAGCUCAGUCUAUACAUACAGAGAGAGCUCAGUAUAUACAUACAGAGAGAGAGCCAAGUAUAUACAAAGAGAGCUCAGUCUGUACAUACAGAGGGAGAGAGAGAGCUCAGUCUGUACAUACAGAGAGAGAGAGCCCAGUCUGUACAUACAGAGAGAGAGAGAGCUCAGUCUGUACAUACAGAGACAGAGCUCAGUCUGUACAUACAGAGGGAGAGAGCUCAGUCUAUACAUACAGAGAGAGAGCUCAGUCUGUACAUACAGAGAGAGAGAGAUAGAGCCCAGUCUGUACAUACACAGAGAGAGAGACCUCAGUAUAUACAUACAGAGAGAGAGAGACGGAGAGAGCUCAGUCUAUACAUACAGAGAAAGCUCAAUAUAUACAUACACAGAGAGAGCGAGAGCUCAGUAUAUACAUACAGAGAGAGAGAGUGCUCAGUAUAUACAUAGAGAGAGAGAGAGCUCAGUGUAUACAUACAGCGAGAGAGAGAGAGAGAUAGAGCCCAGUCUGUACAUACAGAGAAAGAGAGACCUCAGUAUAUACAAACAGAGAGAGAGAGAGACCUCAGUGUAUACAUACAGAGAGAGAGAGAGAGAGAGAGAGAGGGAGAGAGCUCAGUCUAUACAUACAGAGAGAGCUCAGUCUAUACAUACAGAGAGAGCUCAGUAUAUACAUACACAGAGAGAGAGCCAAGUAUAUACAAAGAGAGCUCAGUCUGUACAUACAGAGGGAGAGAGAGAGCUCAGUCUGUACAUACAGAGAGAGAGAGCCCAGUCUGUACAUACAGAGAGAGAGAGAGCUCAGUCUGUACAUACAGAGACAGAGCUCAGUCUGUACAUACAGAGGGAGAGAGCUCAGUCUAUACAUACAGAGAGAGAGCUCAGUCUGUACAUACAGAGAGAGAGAGCUCAGUCUAUACAUACAGAGGGAGAGCUCAGUCUGUACAUACAGAGAGAGAGAGAGCUCAGUCUGUACAUACAGAGAGAGGGAGAGAGCUCAGUCUGUACAUACAGAGACAGAGCUCAGUCUGUACAUACAGAGAGAGAGAGCUCAGUCUAUACAUACAGAGGGAGAGAGCACAGUCUGUACAUACAGAGAGAGGGAGAGAGAGCUCAGUCUGUACAUACAGAGGGAGAGAGCCCAGUCUGUACAUACAGAGGGAGAGAGAGAGAGCCCAGUCUGUACAUACAGAGGGAGAGAGCUCAGUCUGUACAUACAGAGAGAGAGAGCUCAGUCUAUACAUACAGAGGGAGAGAGCUCAGUCUGUACAUACAGAGAGAGAGAGCUCAGUCUAUACAUACAGAGGGGGAGAGCUCAGUCUGUACAUACAGAGGGAGAGAGAGAGAGAGCCCAGUCUGUACAUACAGAGGGAGAGAGCUCAGUCUAUACAUACAGAGGGAGAGAGCUCAGUCUGUACAUACAGAGGGAGAGAGAGAGAGCCCAGUCUGUACAUACAGAGGGAGAGAGCUCAGUCUAUACAUACAGAGGGAGAGAGCUCAGUCUGUACAUACAGAGGGAGAGAGAGAGAGAGCCCAGUCUGUACAUACAGAGGGAGAGAGCUCAGUCUGUACAUACAGAGGGAGAGAGCUCAGUCUAUACAUACAGAGGGAGAGAGCUCAGUCUGUACAUACAGAGGGAGAGAGAGCCCAGUCUGUACAUACAGAGGGAGAGAGCUCAGUCUGUACAUACAGAGAGAGAGAGCUCAGUCUAUACAUACAGAGGGAGAGAGCUCAGUCUGUACAUACAGAGAGAGAGAGCUCAGUCUGUACAUACAGAGAGAGAGAGCUCAGUCUGUACAUACAGAGAGAGAGAGCUCAGUCUAUACAUACAGAGGGAGAGAGCUCAGUCUAUACAUACAGAGGGAGAGAGCUCAGUCUAUACAUACAGAGGGAGAGAGAGAGAGAGCCCAGUCUGUACAUACAGAGGGAGAGAGCUCAGUCUAUACAUACAGAGGGAGAGAGCUCAGUCUGUACAUACAGAGGGAGAGAGAGAGAGAGCCCAGUCUGUACAUACAGAGGGAGAGAGCCCAGUCUGUACAUACAGAGGGAGAGAGAGAGAGAGCCCAGUCUGUACAUACAGAGGGAGAGAGCUCAGUCUAUACAUACAGAGGGAGAGAGCUCAGUCUGUACAUACAGAGGGAGAGAGAGAGAGAGCCCAGUCUGUACAUACAGAGGGAGAGAGCCCAGUCUGUACAUACAGAGGGAGAGAGCUCAGUCUAUACAUACAGAGGGAGAGAGCUCAGUCUGUACAUACAGAGGGAGAGAGCUCAGUCUAUACAUACAGAGGGAGAGAGCUCAGUCUGUACAUACAGAGGGAGAGAGCUCAGUCUAUACAUACAGAGGGAGAGAGAGAGAGAGCCCAGUCUGUACAUACAGAGGGAGAGAGCUCAGUCUGUACAUACAGAGGGAGAGAGAGAGAGAGCUCAGUCUGUACAUACAGAGAGAGAGAGCUCAGUCUGUACAUACAGAGGGAGAGAGCUCCGUCUAUACAUACAGAGAGAGAGAGAGAGAGAGAGAGAGAGAGAGUAUUGUGCACAGGCCCAGGAUCAGCCCUAUAUUUUCAGAACCAUUGAAAACACAGCAUGAGAGUUGACAUAGAUGCAGCAUUAGGGUAAUACUUUAAUUAUGAAAACAAACAUUUAAAAAGCCAAGCGGUGCCCUAGACAAAAACCUACAGAAAUCUGCCAUUUUGAACCCAAAUUAUGUUCCUGUUAAUUGCUGCUGUCAUAGACGUUAGGUUUUCAUACUAUGCAAGGAUAUUAAAGUUAAUUAUUCUGUUAGCUAUAACGGUUAACAUCUGCGGGAAUAGCUUAGCCUUCUGAGAAGAAUUGCCAAUGAAAGUAAAGAUGGAAAUUCUGUUUUUAGAAAGUUACAAUUGUAAAUCGGUUAUAUUUGACUUCAGUAGAAAGUGAUGAGUGAAGGUUGAACUUGAUGCAAUGAAGUCUUUUUUGUUGUUUACUUCGAUUGCUACGUAACUUUCUUUUUCUUUUUUUUCAGGUAGACGAUAAAGACUAACAAGAUUUCCUGAAACAGAUGUUGGUCAUCACACCUGCACAGGCCUCUCUUACUCUCUGUAAUUGUCUAAUUGAUUUAUAGCUUGUUCGGCAUUCCGAAGAUCCUGCUUCUAUCACCAACUCAGUAUGGAAACCGUCCUUGGCUGACUAGCUAUCCCCACUGAUAUUGAAGAGAUGCCCUGACUACAGUGGUGGGAGGGUUGCCGCUGUGAUCCUGUGUGAUGUGUAUCUUGCACAAUGGGUGUGUUCUCUUCAGGACUAAUUAUGUGUCUUACCAAACUUUUUAAUUAAUUAAUAUGCAUAUCAUGUUCAGAUCUUUCUCAGAGUUUUGCUGAGAACAUGAGGCUGAGGGAACAGAACAUAUUCUUAUUUUAAAAGGUAGGGAAUCUUAACACUGAUAAGUCUUUCAUGUUGUGUAUGAGUUUCUUUUUUUACAUAUGAUGUGACAUGUAUGGAGUGCUGAGCUUAGUGUAGGCAUUAUGCAAACACUUAUACGCCACUACUGGCAAAACCAUGACUCGUUAAUGCAAGCUUUCAGUCUAGAGUGGUAUGAAGCAUGUCAAACACAAGGUACAAUGGUGGGUAGGUAGACAUAAAGGGACAGACACUGUAGACAUUGAUUACUUACUCCAACAAACAGUGUGUCCUUUAUACUCCAGUAUUAUAGAUGUAAUGGAUGUCAUCUUAUUUUUGUAUUAUCUUUAGAUACUGUACUGCAAGGAUUCAUUUGAACGAUAGUUCAUUUGUCACCAUUCUCCAGCAGACAUUGUCUCAUUGAGAUGAAGAUUAGAGGGCAACGUCAGUUAGAAUACACUGGGAACACAUCUCACAGAUAAUCAGUUUCUUUAAACAGAGUUUCAGCAGAGAUAUCAUCAUGCUUUUUACCUUUACCUUCUCCAUUUUUCAAAGGAUUUAAACGUCAGAAACCUCAAGGCUUCUGAAAGAGAGCUGAAUCCCCCUGAACCCCCAUAGGAAUAUCCUGCUCCACUCACUCUCCCAUCUGGGUUUGGGGGAAAUGAUCUCUGAAGUAUGUGUGUGUGUGUAUAUAUAUUAAUACACACGACCUAAUCUUUCAUUGAAUAUAAACAUUACAUUGCAAUACUGCUGACAACUUUUGGCCCGUGUGGUCAAGAACAAAUGAUCAUGAAGCUUCCCAUUUCUUUUUGUCGAUGGUCCUACUCACACAUAAUAGAUGGGUUUGCCACAUGGGGGCUGCUGGGGUUGGUAGAUGUGACAUCAUAUAUCCCUGCAUUUUCCAUCAAUAUGACAUACACAGCAUGACAGAGAUGGCAUCACCACUGACAUCAAUGUUUCAUCCCCCUGCAGCUACUUCAAACAUCUCCUGGGACAUCAUACAUACUCAUCAUGCAUCUUGCAACCUGGUCAGCCCAGAUGUUGCAGUCUCUGGAAAUAUCUCAGUAAGCCAAUUCAUUGAGAUUAUGGACCACCAGCUGAUGGACUAAGCCGCACAAUGCUGGCUAGCAAAACCUCUCAGUUCCUACAUGCGGCCCCACUCCUGCUCUGACAAGUCAUCCCAACGCACCUCCAAAAUCAGCAGAUCAAUGGUUCUAUGAGGCUGCAGCUCACAAACCAUGGGUGCUAGUCUUCUGGGAAACAACUGUCCUCCUGCUCCCCACGCCAUCCAACCUCUGCCAGUUUCACAACGUAAACACACAGCAUUAGGUUUCUCUUGAAGAAAUUGUUGAAUCCUCGCUAUCUAUUCGUUAUCACAAAACUUUAGCAAGCAAAUGUCCCUUUCAAUUAUCUGUUUUUGAUACACAAUAUUAUUUUGACACUAUUCUGUGUUCACAGUAAAAUUGCAUCUAAUAAUCUAAUAAUAUCCCUUAUUUUAGGUUUAAUAAUAGCUACAAGGCAACUUCAUCUUUAUUCUUUAUUAUAAUGCAAGUUAAUGAGCAAUGUGAAAAAUGCCUUUCUAUACUACGUCUUUUUUAUUUUCUAAUUAAAAUGUAAACUAAGUAACUAUUGAAUGAAAAUGGAUACAGUACAAUAUUUGUUACAAUUUAAAUACUAGUAAUGCAUUUCUUUAAUGCAUUGGAAUGGCAAUAUUUUAAAUAUAACACAUUUAUAUUUUACAUUUAUACUGAUAGAACUCUGUGUUCAUUUAGCUAACGUAGUUAUCCCACGUUAAGUACAUAUAAACAGUCUAAUGAGUAACUCCUUACUCUUACACAUAUAUAAAAAGAAAAACAGCUUAAUUCAGACGUUUUCCUUCUUAAUCAGAACAUUUUGAAAAUUGAAUAAAUAAUGUUUGUGUAAUAAAGACAAGGAAUUUGCGAUUUAUAGGAUAAUGCCAAAAUCUAAACCAACCUGCUUUCAAUAUGAAGAGGAGAAGGAUGCAGAUCGUCUUAGUAGCCAUAGUUACACCAAUUGCACCAAAGUUAAUGUCCUUCUGCGUUAAAAAAAGACCCACACUUGCAGACAGUGAGCAGUACUCAGUUAAGUCUUCUAAACCAGAAAAGUCUUCUGCUUAUAUACCCCCAGAUAGUGUCCAUAUAGAUUCAUAAUACUUUUAUAUGUGUCACUAAAUAAUGACUUGAAAGAUGUGGACAUCCCUCUAAAUUCCUAGUUCACGUGCCUAAGACCAACUUGAUAUGACUUCAAAUUGAUGGAAUGUGUUGUCUACCAGAACACUCUAAACUAUAAUUAAUUUGUUAUCAUAUAUCAGCUUCACAAUUUAAACACCAGUGUGCAUGUGUGAUGUGACUAAGACUAAGAUUUUCCAUCAGAAAAUGAUGUGUGUAUCAGAAAUAAUCAUAACUAAAUUCAAGAGAGCAAGAGAGAAGGUAUGUUGGAGGACCAUCAUUUGAAAAAAAAUGACCAGGCGUAUUCAUGAUGCAAUAAAUGCAUGUUGUAAUUUUUGCUUGUUCAUAUGCACUUGUUUUCAAGUCUAUACAAAGGUAUGCCUUUUAUUUCUUUUUUCUUUCAAUAUAGUUUGGUACCUGGAUGUAUUAACCCUGCUUGUGAAAGAAAGUGAUGCCUGACAUUUGAGCAGGAUGAGAGGAAUUGCAGUUGAUGCACCAAAAAUCUGAAAAUGGGGAAAAAAACGAUUUGGCACAACGAACAUUUCAUGCCAUGAAAAAGUCUAAAUGAUAUCAAAUUUAAAUAUUUUUUAUUGAGAUGAAAAAAAAUAAUAGAGCUGUAAAAAUGGGUGUAAUCAUGACUUUCCACAAUAAUACAAUACAGACACCCAGCGAUAAAAAAGAUCAGAUUGUUUUAAACUUGAUUCUUGAUACCAGUAAAUAUAUGUUAAACCUUUCUGCUAAAAAGUCAUUUGCUGGAAAGUUUUUGGUAUCACUUUCCCCUCUGGCAGAGUCAACAGUGGGGUGAAAUAUUAGUAAUGAUUGAGUUCAUAACCAAACAAACUCAACAAGCUAAUUAAUUUGAUGGGAUUAUGAGGUAAGGUUUGCUAAAAGAAUUCAGUAGUUGAGGAAAUUGUCCAAAUGUAAAUAAAGUGGUUCUUUUUAUAGACUUUUUAGUACACCUCGUGAUGUUAAUUGAGACUGUGCUUGAAUUUCAUUUGGACACUUUAAACACAAAUGAAGGAAACUGUUUUGAGGAGAAGUAUUUUCAGGUUUAAGAUCCAUUAUCUAGCCAUGAAUCUGGUAAAUGAAGAGUUAGAUGAUUCAAGACAUACAGGGAGUGCAGAAUUAUUAGGCAAGUUGUAUUUUUGAGGAUUAAGUUUAUUAUUGAACAACAACCAUGUUCUCAAUGAACCCAAAAAAACUCAUUAAUAUCAAAGCUGAAUAUUUUUGGAAGUAGUUUUUAGUUUGUUUUUAGUUAUAGCUAUGUUAGGGGGAUAUCUGUGUGUGCAGGUGACUAUUACUGUGCAUAAUUAUUAGGCAACUUAACAAAAAAC